rnacentral:rRNA from 1 species
GGAAAAGAAACUAACAAGGAUUCCCCUAGUAACUGCGAGUGAAGCGGGAAAAGCUCAAAUUUAAAAUCUGGCGGCCUUUGGCCGUCCGAGUUGUAGUCUGGAGAAGUGCUUUCCGCGCUGGACCGUGUACAAGUCUCUUGGAACAGAGCGUCAUAGAGGGUGAGAAUCCCGUCUUUGACAUGGACUACCAGUGCUUUGUGAUGCGCUCUCAAAGAGUCGAGUUGUUUGGGAAUGCAGCUCAAAAUGGGUGGUAAAUUCCAUCUAAAGCUAAAUAUUGGCGAGAGACCGAUAGCGAACAAGUACCGUGAGGGAAAGAUGAAAAGCACUUUGGAAAGAGAGUUAAACAGUACGUGAAAUUGCUGAAAGGGAAACGCUUGAAGUCAGUCGCGUUGGCCGGGACUCAGCCUUGCUUUUUUGCUUGGUGCAUUUUCCGGUUGACGGGCCAGCAUCGAUUUUGACCGCUGGAAAAAGGUUGAGGGAAUGUGGCACCUCCGGGUGUGUUAUAGCCUUCAGUCACAUACAGUGGUUGGGAUCGAGGACCGCAGCACGCCUUUUAUGGCCGGGGUUCGCCCACGUUCGUGCUUAGGAUGCUGGCAUAAUGGCUUUAAACGACCCGUCUUGAAACACGGACCAAGGAGUCUAACAUGCCUGCGAGUGUUUGGGUGGAAAACCCGAGCGCGUAAUGAAAGUGAAAGUUAGGAUCCCUAUCGUGGGGAGCACUGACGCCCGGACCUGAACUUCGGUGAUGGAUCUGCGGUAAACAUGGUAUUUUUGGGACCCGAAAGAUGGUGAACUAUGCCUGAAUAGGGUGAAGCCAGAGGAAACUCUGGUGGAGGCUCGUAGCGAUUCUGACGUGCAAAUCGAUCGUCAAAUUUGGGUAUAGGGGCGAAAGACUAAUCGAACC